UACGUAGGGUGCAAGCGUUGUCCGGAAUUAUUGGGCGUAAAGAGCUCGUAGGCGGUCUGUCGCGUCUGCUGUGAAAACUCAGGGCUUAACCCUGAGCUUGCAGUGGGUACGGGCAGACUAGAGUGCGGUAGGGGAGACUGGAAUUCCUGGUGUAGCGGUGAAAUGCGCAGAUAUCAGGAGGAACACCGGUGGCGGAAGGCGGGUCUCUGGGCCGU
rnacentral:rRNA from 1 species